rnacentral:rRNA from 1 species
UACGGAGGAUCCGAGCGUUAUCCGGAUUUAUUGGGUUUAAAGGGUGCGCAGGCGGGAUGUUAAGUCGGCGGUGAAAUUUUGCAGCUCAACUGUAAAAGUGCCUUCGAUACUGGCUUCCUUGAGUGUGGAUGAAGUAGGCGGAAUUUGUGGUGUAGCGGUGAAAUGCUUAGAUAUCACGAGGAACUCCGAUUGCUAAGGCAGCUUACUAAGCCAUAACUGACGCUCAAGCACGAAGGCGUGGGGAUCAAACAGGAUUAGAUACCCGUGUA